rnacentral:lncRNA from 1 species
CGAAGGAAACUCGAGGAGCAGGCCGAUUUACAACAGGCCAUCGAACUACAAGGAAGAAGGUUAAUGAAUUUGCAGCUUUUGGACCUCAAAAACCAACACCAUUCUUCGUUUCAUCACAGUUUGUCCACUGGUUCUCCCAUUCCUUCGCCUUUGUCCACUGGUUCUCCCAUUCCUUCGCCGACUGUUUCCCGUAUUCCCACCAAUCAGGCUCGUAUUUUCCCAGUUGAAGCAACCCUAGAAGGUU